CCUAGGGGGGGCUGCAGUGGGGAAUAUUGGACAAUGGGGGGAACCCUGAUCCAGCCAUGCCGCGUGUGUGAAGAAGGCCCUCGGGUUGUAAAGCACUUUCAGUGAGGAAGAACGCCUGGUGGUUAAUACCCAUCAGGAAAGACAUCACUCACAGAAGAAGCACCGGCUAACUCCGUGCCAGCAGCCGCGGUAAUACGGAGGGUGCGAGCGUUAAUCGGAAUUACUGGGCGUAAAGCGCGCGUAGGUGGCUUGAUAAGCCGGUUGUGAAAGCCCCGGGCUCAACCUGGGAACGGCAUCCGGAACUGUCAAGCUAGAGUGCAGGAGAGGAAGGUAGAAUUCCCGGUGUAGCGGUGAAAUGCGUAGAGAUCGGGAGGAAUACCAGUGGCGAAGGCGGCCUUCUGGACUGACACUGACACUGAGGUGCGAAAGCGUGGGUAGCAAACAGGAUUAGAUACCCCAGUAGUC
rnacentral:rRNA from 1 species